rnacentral:rRNA from 1 species
GAUGAACGCUGGCGGCGUGCCUAAUACAUGCAAGUCGAGCGAACAGAUGAGGAGCUUGCUCCUCUGACGUUAGCGGCGGACAGGUGAGUAACACGUGGAUAACCUACCUAUAAGACUGGGAUAACUUCGGGAAACCGGAGCUAAUACCGGAUAAUAUAUUGAAUCGCAUGGUUCAAUAGUGAAAGACGGUUUUGCUGUCACUUAUAGAUGGAUCCGCGCCGCAUUAGCUAGUUGGUAAGGUAACGGCUUACCAAGGCAACGAUGCGUAGCCGACCUGAGAGGGUGAUCGGCCACACUGGAACUGAGACACGGUCCAGACUCCUACGGGAGGCAGCAGUAGGGAAUCUUCCGCAAUGGGCGAAAGCCUGACGGAGCAACGCCGCGUGAGUGAUGAAGGUCUUCGGAUCGUAAAACUCUGUUAUUAGGGAAGAACAAAUGUGUAAGUAACUAUGCACGUCUUGACGGUACCUAAUCAGAAAGCCACGGCUAACUACGUG